rnacentral:rRNA from 1 species
UACGUAGGGGGCUAGCGUUGUCCGGAAUCAUUGGGCGUAAAGAGCGUGUAGGCGGUCCGGUAAGUCCGCUGUGAAAGUCGGGGGCUCAACCCUCGAAUGCCGGUGGAUACUGUCGGGCUAGAGUGCGGAAGAGGCGAGUGGAAUUCCUGGUGUAGCGGUGAAAUGCGCAGAUAUCAGGAGGAACACCUAUUGCGAAGGCAGCUCGCUGGGACGUAUCUGACACUGAGGGACGAAAGCUAGGGGAGCGAAUGGG